GAACACCGGCGAUGGGUACGGCAAAGAGGACAGCUGACUGGUGUUGGACCAGAAGGUGAUUCGUGGAGGACGGCUGGCUAGCGCUACCACCGAGAGGUGUUGAGCACUGGACGCUUGGACAGAAGCUUGGAGAAGCGGGUUUCAUUCCUGCUAGAUGUUCUCAUCAAGUCAGGAAUAUAAAGUCUCGCAUGAAAGGUCCUAGUAUUGGACUUUGUCUCUGUCUCCCCCUGAAAGCAUUCCUUGAUCAGUUAUUACUAUUAUCACACACUACUAUAACACAGGUGAACCCUGUCAGCAGUUGUUUCUAGACUUUUUUACUUUCUCUUAAUCUCGUUACGUGUCCUCUGUCUGUUGAUUCGCAUGUUUUCAUAUCUUUUAGGAUAUAACAAAAUAGCUGAGCAGCGACAUGGAAGAUCGGUCAUUGUUUACCAGUGUUGAUGAAAAAUUGAACCAUGUUAAUCAAAUUAUUGAUAUUAUUGGGAUUCAUGAGUUCGCAGUAGAAUGUGUCAUGGUCUUCACACCCAUUCCGUGCACUAGCCAAUUUAGCUGUCAAAUUUUAUGAUACUCAGUUGCCAUUUGGACAGGUUUUGUAAAUGGAUCUCAUUGUUUCCU